rnacentral:rRNA from 1 species
UACGUAGGCAGCGAGCGUUGUUCGGAGUUACUGGGCGUAAAGGGUGUGUAGGCGGUUGUUUAAGUUUGGUGUGAAAUCUCCCGGCUCAACUGGGAGGGUGCGCCGAAUACUGAAUGACUUGGAGUGUGGGAGAGGAAAGUGGAAUUCCUGGUGUAGCGGUGAAAUGCGUAGAUAUCAGGAGGAACACCGGUGGUGUAGACGGCUUUCUGGACCGUAACUGACGCUGAGACACGAAAGCGUGGGUAGCAAACAGG